UAAUCAUUGCAAAAUUUGCAGCAACACUAUUUUUUGUUUGCGUGAACAGUGGGUGAAAUAUCUCCGCAGCUGAUCAUGCGGACAGAAGUCAGCUGGUGUCUGCGGUAUCAGAAAAAAACUGGCCAGUUUGUACACUGUGACCUACAUACCACGGGGUACUGUGGUUUUUACAGAGGCUUUUUAUUUAAACUUGAGCCUCAUUUCCCUGGAAGUACAGUAAAUUCAAACACACUCGAUCUGGGACAGAGCCAUGGCAGCUGGGACCUGACGGUGGACCAAGCCGUGGCGGAAGCCCCUGGGCCGAGCGAGACCCAGAGAGAUCAGGAGGUCCAGCGAGGAUGCCUACAUUCGUCUUCUCUGGCUCUAUAGAGCUCCCGCUCGCUCAUGUCGGUAACAGCUGGAGGCGGAGACGUGGACAGGUACGCAGGUACAGCGUCUGGCGCAGUUCCGGGACCCCUUGUCCUGUCUCAUGAAAUGAAUGGUGCUCCUCGCCUUCUCCACGUGAACAUAAAGUGAUCUGCCGUCCCGUUUCCACCCGGCUUUAUCCAGACGGUGUUGCAAUCCAAGGACCAAAGAGUGAAGCCUCCAGGAAAUGUGCUCUUUCCAGAUGGCGAGACGUUCGGCAAGAAGGUUUGGAGUCCCGGAGGGGAACGGAGAGGAAAGGAGAAAGGAGGAGGCUGGAGGAGCUCUGAGAAGCUCCGCUGAGCUCGGAGGACGGAGCUGAAGCGUGCGGCCGUGACGGAGCCGAGGGGGCGGGCCGCCUGUGGACUUUCCUCCCUCCUCUUUGUGCGAGAGUGUGUGCGGAGCGCGAGCGUCUGGAGCGCCCGGGCCGAUGCGAGCAACAGGCAGAGGAGGAGAGGAAGGCAGAAAGUCCUCGCAGGAGUUUCACUUCCAUGCCGAAGAGCGGAGCGUCGAGUGCCAGGAAACGUGCGAGGAAUGUGAAGAAAAAGCAGAAAAAAAGAGCCACGAAGACAGGCUGUGCUUUGUUAACUCUGUUCUGUGCACAUAAAAACGCACACGCACACACCAGGAUGACUAACCCAGCGACUUCCUCUUCCCAGCAGCAGGAUCCAUUCAUUUGUGCCCCCAGUUUUUGAACAAACCUCUCUAAUCUGGCAGAGUACAGGCAGUAAAGGGUGUACAGUAUGUAUUUACCCCAAAAUGCAGCAUAGCUGGAGGUAUUUACAUUACAUUUACAUUUAUUCAUUUAGCAGACGCUUUUGUCCCCCUUUUCGAGAUACAAGCCAUAAAUGGGAACACAUUUAUGUGAAGUGUGAAAGAGUUU